rnacentral:rRNA from 1 species
AUUGAACGCUGGCGGCAUGCUUUACACAUGCAAGUCGAACGGUAACAGGCCGCAAGGUGCUGACGAGUGGCGAGCGGGUGAGUAAUUCAUCGGAACGUGCCCAGUCGUGGGGGAUAACUACUCGAAAGAGUAGCUAAUACCGCAUACGAUCUAUGGAUGAAAGCGGGGGACCGUAAGGCCUCGCGCGAUUGGAGCGGCCGAUGUCAGAUUAGGUAGUUGGUGGGGUAAAGGCUCACCAAGCCAACGAUCUGUAGCUGGUCUGAGAGGACGACCAGCCACACUGGGACUGAGACACGGCCCAGACUCCUACGGGAGGCAGCAGUGGGGAAUUUUGGACAAUGGGCGCAAGCCUGAUCCAGCAAUGCCGCGUGCAGGAAGAAGGCCUUCGGGUUGUAAACUGCUUUUGUACGGAACGAAACGGCUCUGGUUAAUACCCGGGGCUAAUGACGGUACCGUAAGAAUAAGCACCGGCUAACUACGUG